rnacentral:lncRNA from 1 species
CGGGAACGGGACGUCCGCGAGCCUGCGCCGUCGGAGGGGGCUGGAGGGAGCGGCCCGGCACUGUGCGCCCUCCCCACCCCGGCGAGUCCCCUGGAGACGAGUGCGUGAGCAGCUUAAGCUCUACAUUUGUAACAUCCAACUGCUGUCUCUUGAUUGGACCAUUUUCAAGAACUGAUACCAGUUUUCAUACAGCUUAAAAGCAAGUGGAGAGGCGAAGCACAGGGAACAACGGAUCAGACCAUACUGAACUCCCUUGGAGUGACUGAGAUCCGUGGAGGAUGCUGGCUGCCAAGUGGCUGAGGAGGCCCUCACUCUAAG